rnacentral:rRNA from 1 species
UACAGAGGGUGCGAGCGUUAAUCGGAAUUACUGGGCGUAAAGAGCGUGUAGGCGGCCAGGUAGGUCUGGUGUGAAAACUCGAGGCUUAACCUCGAGAUGUCAUCGGAAACCAUCUGGCUAGAGUCCGGAAGAGGAGAGUGGAAUUCCUGGUGUAGCGGUGAAAUGCGCAGAUAUCAGGAAGAACACCAAUGGCGAAAGCAGCUCUCUGGGACGGUACUGACGCUGAGACGCGAAAGCGUGGGGAGCGAACAGG